CGUGUAGCCGGGCCGACAAGUCAGAUGUGAAAUCCACGGGCUUAACCCGUGAACUGCAUUUGAAACUGUUGGUCUUGAGUAUCGGAGAGGUAACCGGAAUUCCUAGUGUAGCGGUGAAAUGCGUAGAUAUUAGGAAGAACACCAGUGGCGAAGGCGGGUUACUGGACGACAACUGACGGUGAGGCGCGAAAGCGUGGGGAGCAAACAA
rnacentral:rRNA from 1 species